rnacentral:rRNA from 1 species
UUUUGUGGUCCUGAUGGACUGAAUGCAUCUGAUUUUGGAAGCUAAGCAGUCCUACUCCUGGAUAGUGCUUGGCUACAAGCCGAAUUUGGAGUAGCUACCAGUC